rnacentral:rRNA from 1 species
UAUGUGAUCGUCUCUCGCAUAUCAAUAAGCGGAGGAAAAGAAACUAACAAGGAUUCCCCUAGUAACGGCGAGUGAAGCGGGAAGAGCUCAAAUUUGAAAUCUUAAAGGGUUUCCCUUUACGAAUUGUAGUUUAAAGAAGUGUUUUCUGUUGAGGUUUUGGUAAAAGUUCUUUGGAAUAGGACAUCAUAGAGGGUGAGAAUCCCGUAUUUGACCUUUACUUUCAACUUUGUGAUACACUUUCAAAGAGUCGGAUUGUUUGGGAAUGCAGUCCAAAAUGGGUGGUAAAUUUCAUCUAAAGCUAAAUAUUGGCGAGAGACCGAUAGCGAACAAGUACCGUGAGGGAAAGAUGAAAAGAACUUUGAAAAGAGAGUUAAACAGUACGUGAAAUUGUCAAAAGGGAAGCGUUUGACACCAGUGUUGUUUUUCUGAAAAUCAAUUAAAGAACUGUUUAUGCUAAGCUGUUUAGACUUUAUCAGCUAUCUGUUUAGUUUUGAGCUUUUCUUUAAUGCACUUUUCAGUUAACAAGUCAACAUCAAUUUCUUUUGCUAGUAAAAAAGCUUGAGGAAGGUGGCUUGAGAUUCGUCUUAAGUGUUUAUAGCCUCUUGCCUAUGCAGUCGGAGAGAUUGAGGUCUGCAGCGUAGAUCCUUCGGGGCUAAAUGCAUUUGUGCUAAGUUAUAACUAUUUUAUAGACAACUUGUUGACUAUGAUUUGUCUUGUAGCUUACUCGCUUAUGUUAUUUUACCUACGCUUAGGAUGUUGAGUAGCGACAUACGCAC